CGGAGCCGCGGCCGCCGUCGGACCCCGCACGCCGCUGGUGAGAGCUCUGCUUGUUCUGUAAAGUGGAUGUCAGGUGGAUCUAUGUUCUGGAAGGAACAAAGAGGCAGC